rnacentral:rRNA from 1 species
CAGCAGCCGCGGGAAUACGUAGGGUGCAAGCGUUAAUCGGAAUUACUGGGCGUAAAGCGUGCGCAGGCGGUUUGUUAAGACAGAUGUGAAAUCCCCGGGCUCAACCUGGGAACUGCAUUUGUGACUGGCAAGCUAGAGUGUGGCAGAGGGGGGUGGAAUUCCGCGUGUAGCAGUGAAAUGCGUAGAUAUGCGGAGGAACACCGAUGGCUAAGGCAGCCCCCUGGGCCAACACUGACGCUCAUGCACGAAAGCGUGGGGAGCAAACAGGAUUAGAUACCCCCGUAGUCCCUGUCUCUUAUAC